rnacentral:lncRNA from 1 species
GUGUGCGCGCCCUCGCUCCGCGGGCGCCGGCCCUGUUCUAGGUCACUCUUCUCUCUUGCAUGCGGGUUUCCUGGGGCAGGGGCAGGGGCAGGGGCAGGGUGGGCAUCUCUACCCUGGAGGGAAGCACAUGGCUUUGUACCGAAUUCACUAAAACGACCGCCUCCCCCACAGGAACCAGGACUGGGGUGUAAUGACAGUGGUGAGGUGGGUGGCAGCUGAGAGUGGCACAAUCCUGGGUUUUGCAGAUAUUUAAUGUUACAUUGAGGCGUUUUGACUCUGCCAUUUUCGGUCCGUAAAUCAGAGACAGUACUAUCCCCACAGGCCUCUGAUAUUCCUGGACGUCCCUGACUGACGCGCUCUUGCACCUAAUUCGCCACAUGCCCUUUGUACCUCCUGGGCCAAGCGGCCCCAUUCCCUGGCACCAAAACAGAGCAAAACACACACAAGAGACGUGACGGAGGUGAUGGAAAUGCCACAAAACAUCUGGAAACUAAAGGUCCUGCUCUGGACCAAAAGGAACACAGUCAAACUCUCUCCCUCUCUCUCUCUCUUAAAGGCCCCCUCUAUCCUUCUGCAUGGACAACCAGGAAAAGGAAAAAAAAAAAAAAAUGGACUACACACUCCUUUUGUGUCAGCUGAAUGCCUGGGAAGGUGUGUUUACAGGUUUCUCCCAGCCCAGGACGAGCAUUCACCUUGUAAGACCCUUUCGGUCGGCGGCAGGGGCAAGCCUGGCUGGAUUUCCGCCCUUAUAACCCACAAAAACAUUUCAAGCCAUUCUCCGAAGCCACAGCGUGCCUGGCUAAAUGUCUAACUUCCAAAUCUGAAUGCAGAGACCAAAGGGCUGAGGCAGGGAAACGCAGAGGGGCUUUCUGUUCCAUCCUCACGGGGCCCUGGAGGAGUCUGACAGCUGUUUCUAUCGUGUGUGUUGUAUACAGAGUUGGUACAAUGUAUUAAAUAUUUUAUUUAUGUUACCAUUUUAUAAUAAAAUAUUUUGCUCAACACUUAUUUAAUGUAUUUUACAUCCUGUCAUUUUACACUCUGAUGAAUAAAGGGAAUGCUUUGCCCAGACUACGGUGCCCUUUCAUUUUUUCCUGCUCUUCUGCAGCCCCCUGGCCACCACGCGGGCUGUUUUGAGAAGAGGGGUGCUCUAUUCAGUUUGUCAGGUCACAGAGAAACAGAAACAAAAACAGAGGCUUCACAUUAGUCCUGCACAAAAAUGAUCACUGGACAUGAUUAAGCAGCGACAGGCACUGCUGCGGACAUUGAGAGACAGCCCUCCCCACCGCCUUUUCUCCCCAGCAAGCCCUGUUCACUGGAGUGUGGACAGGUACCCAGUUACAUGCCACACAGACACAUUCACUUAUCCUCAACAAGUGGGCUAUUGAUUUUUGCCUGUUUGCAGAACAGCCUGGGGCUUUCUGAAUGACAAGAGCGUCCCCUAUUUAAAAAAAAAAGAAAGAAAGAAAAAGAUGAU